rnacentral:rRNA from 1 species
GCCUAGCCCUAAACAAAAGCCAGCUGUCACACUCUUGCUUGCCAGAGAACUACGAGCCCCAGCUUAAAACUCAAAGGACUUGGCGGUGCUUUAGACCCCCCUAGAGGAGCCUGUUCUAGAACCGAUAACCCCCGUUAAACCUCACCUUUCCUUGUUCUCCCCGCCUAUAUACCGCCGUCGUCAGCUCACCCUCUGAGGGAUUAAUAGUGAGCUCAGUUGGUCCCCCCAAAAACGCCAGGUCGAGGUGUAGCGAAUGGAAAGGGAAGAAAUGGGCUACAUUCAGUGAACCAAUGAACACGAAUAGUGUCUUGAAACAGACACUUAAAGGAGGAUUUAGCAGUAAAAAAAGAAUAGAGUGCUUUUUUGAAACUGGCCCUGAAGCGCGC